rnacentral:ncRNA from 2 species
CUCUUGUCAAGAGAGGUGGAGGGAUGUGCCCAAUGAAGCCCGGCAACCGUCAGCGUGUCUGCUGAAAAGGUGCCAAUUCACACAAAGCGGCCUGCUUUGAGAGAUAAGAG